GACGAACGCUGGCGGCGUGCCUAAUACAUGCAAGUUGAGCGCUGAAGGUUGGUACUUGUACCAACUGGAUGAGCAGCGAACGGGUGAGUAACGCGUGGGGAAUCUGCCUUUGAGCGGGGGACAACAUUUGGAAACGAAUGCUAAUACCGCAUAAAAACUUUAAACACAAGUUUUAAGUUUGAAAGAUGCAAUUGCAUCACUCAAAGAUGAUCCCGCGUUGUAUUAGCUAGUUGGUGAGGUAAAGGCUCACCAAGGCGAUGAUACAUAGCCGACCUGAGAGGGGGAUCGGCCACAUUGGGACUGAGACACGGCCCAAACUCCUACGGGAGGCAGCAGUAGGGAAUCUUCGGCAAUAGACGAAAGUCUGACCGAGCAACGCCGCGUGAGUGAAGAAGGUUUUCGGAUCGUAAAACUCGGUUGGUAGAGAAGAACGUUGGUGAGAGUGGAAAGCUCAUCAAGUGACGGUAACUACCCAGAAAGGGACGGCUAACUACGUG
rnacentral:rRNA from 1 species